AGAAACUAACUAGGAUUCCCUUAGUAACGGCGAGUGAACCGGGAUGAGCUCAAAUUUAAAAUCUGGCGUCUUUCAGGCGUCCGAGUUGUAAUCUAUAGAGGCGUUUUCCGCGCCGGACCGCGUCCAAGUCUCUUGGAAUAGAGUAUCAAAGAGGGUGACAAUCCCGUACUUGACGCGACAACCGGUGCUCUGUGAUACGUUCUCAAUGAGUCGAGUUGUUUGGGAAUGCAGCUCUAAAUGGGUGGUAAAUUCCAUCUAAGGCUAAAUAUUGGCGAGAGACCGAUAGCGAACAAGUACCGUGAGGGAAAGAUGAAAAGCACUUUGGAAAGAGAGUUAAACAGCACGUGAAAUUGUUAAAAGGGAAACGAUUGAAGUCAGUCGUGUGAAAGGUAUUCAGCCGUCUCUGGCGGUGUAUUUGCCUUUCACGGGUCAACAUCAGUUUGAUCCGGUAGAAAAAGGCGGGAGGAAGGUGGCACCCUCGGGUGUGUUAUAGCCUCCUGUCAUAUGUGCCGGACCAGACUGAGGAACGCAGCUUGCCGCAAGGCCGGGGUUCGCCCACGUACAAGCUUAGGAUGU
rnacentral:rRNA from 1 species